UAGAAGCAGUCUGGUUCCUAGGGAGAAAUUACAGAGGAUUGACUUCAGUAGGCAGCAAUUCAGUCCAACAAAUAAGGAUCUAUUACUGAGCAUCAACUAUGGUGAAACUGUGCUUGGUGGAAGUUCAAGAAUGAAUAUAUCAAAAGUCACGUCCUGCAGGAAGUCACAACCAACAACGGAGAUAAACUGUUAAACUGAAAAUGAUCCUUGUAUGAAUUAAAGAUGCUGGUACACUUGAUUUUCAUUGUCUUUUUUAUGGAACUCCUUCUCAAAUGUUCAGAUCUACUUAAUCUUGACAAUUUAUCUCUUUGCUGGCUGAGGUAAAAAGAGCAACAGGCAGUAUAGGUCGUCAGGAGACCCUGAAAAGGGAUGAGUGUGUGUGUUUGUAUGUGUGUGUGUGUCUGUGUGUGUCUGUGUGUGUCUGUGUGUGCGUGAUUAUAAAUAGUACACACUGUAGAAGCCUCCACAUUCAGUCCACACUGCCCUCUUCUCAACCUUAACGCCAACUGCUCACAAGUCCAUGCGCUGCAAAUUCUCCAUGAAUCUCCAGGUUCUCAUUAGAAAGUGCACUUUCAAACUGCUUUAUCUUUACUCAUAACAGUUUCCUCUUCUGGAAUGUCUCCCUCCUCCAAAUGCCCAUUACACUUUAAUUAUGUUUCACAUAGUCAGUGCUCAAUAAAUAUCUGUG
rnacentral:lncRNA from 1 species